rnacentral:rRNA from 1 species
UACAGAGGUCUCAACCGUUGUUCGGAUUCAUUGGGCGUAAAGGGUGCGUAGGCGGUCGCGUAAGUCAGGUGUGAAAUCCCGGGGCUCAACCCCGGAACUGCAUUUGAUACUGCGUGGCUUGGGUACUGGAGAGGAGACUGGAAUUUACGGUGUAGCAGUGAAAUGCGUAGAUAUCGUAAGGAAGACCAGUGGCGAAGGCGAGUCUCUGGACAGUUACCGACGCUGAGGCACGAAGGUCAGGGGAGCAAACGGG